rnacentral:rRNA from 1 species
GGAGGGGGUUAGCGUUUGUUCGGAAUUACUGGGCGUAAAGCGCGCGUAGGCGGACCUGCAAGUCGGGGGUGAAAGCCCGAGGCUCAACCUCGGAACUGCCUUCGAUACUGCGGGUCUCGAGUCCGGGAGAGGUGAGUGGAAUUCCUAGUGUAGAGGUGAAAUUCGUAGAUAUUAGGAAGAACACCAGUGGCGAAGGCGGCUCACUGGCCCGGUACUGACGCUGAGGCGCGAAAGCGUGGGGAGCAAACAGGAUUAGAUACCCUGGGUAGUCCACGCCGUAAACUAUGGGUGCUAGCCGUCGGUCGGCAUGCCCGGUCGGUGGCGCAGCAAACGCAUUAAGCACCCCGCCUGGGGAGUACGGUCGCAAGAUUA